CUACGGGCCGCAGCAGUGGGGGAUAUUGCACAAUGGGCGAAAGCCUGAUGCAGCAACGCCGCGUGAAGGAUGACGGAUUUCGGUCUGUAAACUUCUAUCAGCAGGGAAGAAAAUGACGGUACCUGACUAAGAAGCCCUGGCUAACUACGUGCCAGCAGCCGCGGUAAUACGUAGGGGGCAAGCGUUAUCCGGAAUUACUGGGUGUAAAGGGUACGUAGGCGGCUGAUCAAGUCAGAUGUGAAAGCCCGGAGCUCAACUCCGGGAUUGCAUUUGAAACUGGUCGGCUAGAGUGCAGGAGAGGAAAGUGGAAUGCCUAGUGUAGCGGUGAAAUGCGUAGAUAUUAGGAAGAACACCAGUGGCGAAGGCGGCUUUCUGGACUGUAACUGACGCUGAGGUACGAAAGCGUGGGGAGCGAACAGGAUUAGAUACCCGGGUAGUC
rnacentral:rRNA from 1 species